UACGGAGGGUGCAAGCGUUACUCGGAAUUACUGGGCGUAAAGCGUCCGCAGGCUUCUUGAUUAGUCUGAUGUAAAAGCACGGAGCUCAACUCCGUGUACGUGUCGGAAACUGUCAAGAUAGAGUCAUAGAGAGGUAUCUGGAAUGCCGUAUGUAGGGGUAAAAUCCGUUGAUCUACGGUAGAACGCCAAAAGCGAAGGCAGGAUACUGGCUAUGUACUGACGCUCAGGGACGAAAGCGUGGGGAGCGAACGGG
rnacentral:rRNA from 1 species